GCAGUCGAGCGAUUUACUUCGGUAAAGAGCGGCGGACGGGUGAGUAACCCUUGAGUAACCUGCCCUAUACACGCGGAUAACAUACCGAACCGGUAUGCUAAUACGAGAUGACAUAAGAGAUUCGCAUGGAUUUCUUAUCAAAGCUUUUGCGGUAUAGGAUGGACCCGCGUCUGAUUAGCUAGUUGGUAAGGUAACGGCUUACCAAGGCGACGAUCAGUAGCCGACCUGAGAGGGUGAUCGGCCACAUUGGAACUGAGACACGGUCCAAACUCCUACGGGAGGCAGCAGUGGGGAAUAUUGCACAAUGGGCGAAAGCCUGAUGCAGCAACGCCGCGUGAGCGAUGAAGGCCUUCGGGUCGUAAAGCUCUGUCCUCAAGGAAGAUAAUGACGGUACUUGAGGAGGAAGCCCCGGCUAACUACGUGCCAGCAGCCGCGGUAAUACGUAGGGGGCUAGCGUUAUCCGGAAUUACUGGGCGUAAAGGGUGCGUAGGUGGUUUCUUAAGUCAGAGGUGAAAGGCUACGGCUCAACCGUAGUAAGCCUUUGAAACUGAGAAACUUGAGUGCAGGAGAGGAGAGUAGAAUUCCUAGUGUAGCGGUGAAAUGCGUAGAUAUUAGGAGGAAUACCAGUUGCGAAGGCGGCUCUCUGGACUGUAACUGACACUGAGGCACGAAAGC
rnacentral:rRNA from 1 species